rfam:Chloroflexi bacterium 13_1_40CM_2_70_6 13_1_40cm_2_scaffold_5886, whole genome shotgun sequence.
UCCGGCGCAGCACGACGGUCGUGCAGAGGACUGUUAAUCCUUUGGUUGGAGGUUCGAAUCCUCCCGCCGGAG